rnacentral:lncRNA from 1 species
AACCGUCACAACAUCAUGUACAUGCUAUUCCCUUUGCCUCACGAUAUUUGGUCUAGCUUCAAGCCGACCGCUCUUUCUUGAUCCUGUGAUUUGGAAUCCCUUUGUAGGUUAACUCUUAACCAUACGUAGCAUGGCCAUGCAUUUCCGGAUCCGAUCACUCGAGGGGCCCAGAGAUAUCACUCUCAAUCAGAGAAGGGAAAAUCCCAUCUUUAUUGGCCAUGCCUCAUACAUACUUCCUG